GUUUUAUUUAUUUUUAAAAUAAAUAAUAUGGGCACAUAGUAAAGAAUUUGAAAGCACAAAAGGGGUUGUGAAAAAAAGCCUCCUUUACUCUCUUGUUCCUUAGACACCAAAUUCUUCUCGCUUGAAGCAGCCCUUUUUAUCAGUUUCUUGGAGCUCUUUCAGGAGAUAUACACAUUUCCGUGGAAGGCAACUACAAUACACUCUGCUAUUCACUUUGCUUUUUCCACUUAACGCUAUGUCUUGGACAUAUUAUAUAUCACUGCAUAUGGAACUGUUUCAUAGUUUAUAAAUUGAAGACAUGAUAUUCCAUGCUAUAAGUAUAAUGCACCAUAGCUCGUUUUGCUAGUCUUCUAUUAAUGGGAACUGAUGUUUUUCUUAAUAUUUUGCUAUUACAACAAUGCUGCAGUAAAUAUUCCUGUACUUUCAUCAUUUCCCACGUGUGUCAAAAUAUCUGUAGUCUAAGCACCUUCAAAGUUGAGUUGCUGUUUUAAAGGGUAUGUGCCUUUGAAAUUUUGAGAGAGGUUGCCUUGUCACCCUACAUAGAGUUUGUAAAACUUAUAUGCCCAUCAGGUAAGUGUGAGAGAACCCAUUUCACAGUCCUCAGACAUACAAUGUGUUAUCAAACUUUUUGAUCUUUGUCAAUUUAAUAGGUAAAAAAUGAGAUAUAUUUAUAGGCUUAUUCUUUUAUCUUUUUAUGAAUUAGUACCCUUUCCACAUGUUUAAGAAUCUUUCUGGACAUUAUUCGUUUAUAUCCUUUUGCUCAUUUUCUUACUGGGAUGCUGUUCUGUUCUCUUACUAUUUUACAGAGCUUCAUGUGUAUUACGAAAACAACCUUAUUGUGAUAUGACUGACAAAUAAGUGAGAAGUCCUAAAGAGAAAUUCAGGAUUGAGAUAGGCCUGGCAAAUA